rnacentral:lncRNA from 1 species
UAACAACUCAAAAACUUUCACGGUGAUGAUUUCUUGUGUCGUCGACGAGUACAAAUGAUGGUUACAAGCGGAGCUCUGAGUCUGUGGCACGGUGGUGAUUUUUUCAUGAUAACAGAGGGUGUUCGAAGAUGAGCAAGGCGAUGAGUGAGCCAGAGAUUAUGGAGUAGUUGGACAAGGCAAGUGGAAACAUUUUGAGGUAAAGGAAAUGAUCAGUUGGUUUUUUAUUUGCAGAAGGAAAUCCCCUUCUUUCUCCAUGUCCAAGCGUGAGGUGAGUGAUCUGGAUAAAAGGUGAAUUUGUA